rnacentral:lncRNA from 1 species
UCAAUAUUUCACUCAAGUUCGCACCUUUUUCAUCACCACCAUAUUGCGACAACUUUUGAAUCAAUUGGGCCACUUCAUUUUCUCUAACGGGCCUAAAAGAAUGGGCACGUUGAGAGCUAAAGAGGUGAUGAACACAAAGUUUUCUCAUCUCUCUCCAAUAAGGACUAUAAGGUGCACAAGCCAGAUCUAAACCAUUGUAAGACAAUUUUCUAAAUCCAAGAAAAGAUGGUCUACUUGCAAAUUUAAGGUCGUGAGUUUUCAACACUUGUUCUGCCAUUUUUGCUGAGGAAACAACUAAGGUUGGUAUGUAACCAAGUUUCAAAGACAUGAUAGGUCCAUAGUGUUUGGAAAGUUGCCAUAGGGAGUGAUGUGGGGAUGAAGGGUCAAGUUGGUGUAGAUUUCCAAUUAGAGGAAAUGGUUUUGGACCUGGUGGAGUUGAUGAUGCUCUUCUAGUACUCUUUGUUUUGUGUAUGUGGAUAAUUAAUAUAAUAAGGAUUGGUAAUAGAUAAACAAGGAAUAGAACUUCCAUGAUGAAACCUUACAAAUUGGAUAUAUAUUUGUAUCUUCAAAAUUAAUAAUAUGUUAGUCAUAGUAAGCACAACGUAUUUAGAGGCUUAAAACGAACAUGAAAAUGAGGUAUUUUAUAUGGAAAAAAAUACAUUAAAUGUCAUCAAUUAAAUUUGAAAUUGCAACUCCAAGCUACAUCAAUCAACAGCCGCACCUAAUAAGCUAAGCUACGUGGAUAUCAAGUAAAGUAUCAAUUUAAUAGUGCUUUUCUGUUUUGAGGCUAAAGACCUUCAGAAAAAUAUUCUUUUUUUAGGCCUAAAUUAAAGGUGGUAUUUACUAUGCACACUACACAAAUUUGUGCACCAUGCACAAAUUUAUGUAUUGAUGCCAGUCUGUUAGAAACCUGCUGAAUUAAAAAAACAAAAAAAUUUAAAAAAUAUUUUAAUUGCAAAUAAUGGUUAGCUGCUAACUCACCUCUCGUUUGUGGUGAAAGAGAAAUACACCUCCUUUCAAUUCAUUUGUUUCACUCAACAAUGCAAGAUUCAAGUUCUAUGAAAUUUUCUUAUCUGGAUCUAUUUUCAGCUAUACACUCAAAGCUAGGUUUGAAACAAAACUCUAUGAAAUUCACCCAAAAUUUUCUGCUGGAGUUUCAAGCUUUAUAUUCAGUAACACUCAAAGGCCAAAGCUCUACGAGAUUUUCUACUUCAAUAAUACUCAAUAGCCGCAAAUUCGUCAUGAAUAUGUCGUACUCUUAACAACUUCAAUGCGCCGUUCUGCCGGUAGCGUCAUCGUAUAAAUAUCGCGCAGAUCUAAUUCUCAAAACUCAAAACCAAUUGAAGUUGCUAAACGCAUCAUCAAGAAGCUUCAAAAGAUCCAUUGAUUUUGCUUCAAUCAUAAUCAAUCGAUUAAUUCUGUGUGUGAACUUAACAAACUAUAUUCUUUUUUUAUUUUUAUUUUAAAUAUGUUUUGGAUUUGGACAAAGGUUUGAAGUUUUUUCUUUGUAUGAUUUAUGGGUUUUAAUUUUUUGAAUAAAAUGUUUGUGUUUCUGGGCAACAAGUUCAUCUUCAUGAAGAUGAAAAAGUAAACUAAGUUAAUGAAAAUGUUUCUGGGCAAAACAUCGGCACACAUUCUAACAUUAGAACCCAACAAAAAUAUUAUAAAUUAAUGUUAUUGUGGGGUAAUGUCUCGGUUUCUGUGUUUAAAGGAAAAAGAAUCUAGCAGGUUGCCAGUCAAACAUCCUGACCGUCUAAUUAGAUUUAAUAUAUAUCAAUGGCUGGUAUUGAUUCAUGACAAUCUUUGUGAAUCAUGCACAAAUUUGUGCAGUGUGCAUAGUAAAUGCCACCUAAAUUAAAAGGUUUAGAUCACCUUAUGUUUGGAUUCAUCUUAAUUUUAACCGGUGCAUAUUCAUAUGUUUUUUCACGUGUGUUAGUGCGUCUCGUUGUAGAAUCACAUAAGAAAGUUAAAAAAAAUAAAUUUGGAAAAAAUAGUUUUAAUUCAUGAUUUUAUUAAAUUCAACGAUUAAGAAUUUUCACAUCCAUAAAAAAUCAAGUCUACUCAAAAUCAAUUUUAUUUAUCAAUAAGAUUUUGCCAUUUAUUCAAACACAAGAAGUGUUUUCAAGUCUAUUGAACUUUGUUUUUUCUGUCGGAAUCAUUUUAUAACGCACAAAAAUCUAAAUGUAAUCGUGAGUGUAUAAUUAUUUGUGCGAUAAUGGAAACCAAAAAUACCAAUGACACACUCGUUUAGAAAUUCCUUCAAAAAUUGUACCCAGAACAAAUUACUUAAAAAAAAAAAAAUCAUUUUUUAGAAAUAGUCAAUAAUAUAAUUAUUUGUUAGGUUAAUAAAUUUUCACCUUUAUAAACCUUAAAUCAAGCGUACCCGUGAGCUUAACUUAGUUGACAAUGACAGUACAUAAUAUUUUUGCAGAGUAAAGGUUCGAACCCCAAACAUCUCACUUAUUCAUCUUAAAGUUGAAUUUCUAACUGCUAGAUGACUUGACAAAAGAAAAUCUCAAAUGAGACAAACUAUCAAACCUAAUAAUAUUCAUAGCUCAUAUAUCCAAAUUCUACGUGAACAAAUAAACAAUAUAUUAAUUUCUUCCUAUUUAAAACAAAUAAAUAAAUAAAUACUAUAACUCUUUCCUCCGACGACGACGACGAUUUUAUUUUUGGAUUCAAUCUCCUUGACGAUCUUUUCGUUAAAAUCAUUUUAACUUUUGUGCAGUCUACUAUAAAAAUGCUUCACGAUCUUUAAUUUGGGUUUUCGAUUAACUAAUAAAGAUUAAAUCAUUAUUAAAGAUAUAUUAAAUUCCAAACCAUACAAUAUCAAAAUUUGCGAGAAAAAAAAUUUGAAUUUGAAUUUUUUUUUUUUGGUGAAAGAUCUUUGAAUUUUAUUGUAUGAAUUAAAAACAAAUGUUUAUAUAUAUAUAUGGUGGUGUUGGCUUGAGAAUCUGGAUAACGUUCUUCACAAAGUCACAGUUCAAUUCUCCUAAUGUUAAUUUUGGUGGACUAAUUUAACUUAAAAAAAACGUUUGUAUAUAUGUAUUGAUGGAAAACAAAUUAUUUUUUUGGUACAAGGAAAACAAUAUUUAAUCCUUAAUAAAAUGGAUGAAUUGAUCAAUAUACCAAAUAUAAUAUCUUAAAUUUAUUCAUAUAUUUGGUAUAGAUGAAAGAGAGGAUAGAUAAGAUGCAAAAGAAUAAAGUUUUUCUAAUUUGAUUCGAGGAUAACUGGAUAAGAGAGACAAAAAAAAAAUGGGUACCACUAUUCUUAUAAUCUUCCCUCCCGUGACGAAAUAUGAGAGAAAAUGACUUGUGUGGAAAAAAUCUUAUGUGGUAGUCACUUAUCUCACCCUAUAUAUAUAUAUAUAUAUAUAUAUAUAUAUAUCACUUAUUGUAUGUUUGGAUCACUCUUUAUACACCUUAGAACAUUUUUUUACACGUAAUGUAACUCACAACUUUAAAUUAACUUUCUGCGUAAAUAAUCUUAAUGGUAGUUAGUGUAGUUACUUUCUACGCAAGUAAUCUUAAUGAAAGGAGAUUUUUUUUUUGUUCUUCAGUUUUAUGUCUUUCAAUAUUCUCGCACAAGCUGGAGCAUGAUAGAUGUUUAUCAUGCCCAACUUGGACACAAAAGAAUGAAACUUGGGUGAUGCUAGCUGUUUAGUGAGGAAACGUGCAAUUUUCUCAUUUGUUGAGAUUGGUAGUAAUCAAAGUAUUCUUUUUUGAAUAUUUAUGCUAACCAAGCGACAAUCGAUUUUUAAAUGCUCAGUUCUUUCAUGGAACACUGAAUUUGAAGCUAUAUGUAUUGCACUCUGACUUUCACAAUAGAGAACCGGUGGUCGUGCACAAGCAACAUCAAAUCAUGCAACAAGUAUAAAAGUCAUUGUAGCUCACAUGUGACUAAUGAUAAUGCUCUAUAUUUUGCUUCCGAAGAAAAGAGAGAUAUAGUUUGAUGUUUCUUAGCACGCCAAGAGAUCAAUGAUGAUCCUAAGAAGAAUAUAAGUAAGCAUUUUUUGUAUGCGAAACAGAUAUCUUCCGCAGCUCGUGUACAAUUGUAGAUAGUAAACUCUUGAGUCGGAUAAAAUCACAAUGGGUACAUAACUCCCCCAAAUACAAGUUAACAUUAUAAGAUGAAAACAUAUUACAAGUCUCUUUUAAUCACUUCCCAAAUUACAAAUGAAACCAUUAUCAAUUGAUCUAGAAAUAAUACAAACUUUGAGGCAUGCAAAUAACAUAACUAAUUGUCAAUAGUACAUAUAUCCUAUGGUUUUCUUUUCCUAGGAAAAAGGCAAAGAUCAAUUUUCUUAUGCAUAGUUAUUCCUGGUUUCACUUUUGUAUCCAACACUUGUUCCUUGUCAAAACCAUGAGGCAACUUCCAAUCAAAAGAGUGAAGAAGAUUAGCAAGUGUAAGCUCAACAGUGACCACUCCCAUGUUCAUUGCAGGACACAUUCUUCUUCCACUUCCAAAUGGAAUUAGCUCAAAAUUUUUCCCUUUAAAGUCCACUGAACUCAUAAUGAACCUUUCAGGAUAAAACUCUUCAGGGUCUUUCCAAUUCUCAGGAUCCCUUCCUAUGGCCCAUGCAUUAACAUACACUAAAGUUUUUGGUUUAAUCUCAUAACCAUCUAUGUUACAAUUUUCUAUUGUUUCUCUUGGUACUAGUAAUGGUGAUGGUGGAAAUAAUCUCAUUGUCUCUUUCACCACUGCUUUAAGAUAAGGUAGCUUUUCAAUAUCAUCUUCAUUUAUAAAAUAUUUGUCUUCAUAUAAGUUUCUGAUUUCCAUUUGAACCUUGUUCAUCACUCUAGGAUUGUUCAUCAAUGUUGUCAUAGCCCAAACCACUAUUGCUGAACUUGUGUCUGUUCCUGCUAUAAAAAUGUUCUGCAUAUAUAAUAUGCAUGUCGUUAAUUAACCACAUAAACUUAAAUAUUAAUCACAAUAUUAUCUUGUUUAAUGAAAUAGAAGAUGAAGAAGGAUGAAUUAAAAUUAUCCAUAAAUUUUUCAAUUAUUUUCUAAUUGAGUAUUACAAAUAUACAACAAAGCAUAUAAAGAUAGUUUUGCUUGGUGAUGACACUUUGUCAUUACAUAAUUUUUAGUGUAAAGGCAUGAUAUUUUGAGUUCACAAGUAAGCUUAAACAACAAGAAAAACUGAAGAAAGUGAUGAAAGUGAAAUCGUGACACGGUUGCUGAAAAACGCGUCACGAUUUAGAGCACAGAAUGAGGUGCAUUCGACAUUGCUGGAAUCGGGACAAGAUAGCAUAAACAUGUCACGAUUUGAAGAGUAAAAAUCUGACCCAUGGGCUUAGUAAGAAGGAAUCGGGACACGAUUAGGCACGUCCUUGUGCCUAUUCAAGCUUAAGCUAGUGCAGAAAAUAAGGGUUGCGAAUUAUGGAGAGAGAAAGUGCAAUUUGCAGACCUGAAGACUGAAGAAAGGGGCGAUUUCCUUCGUUCUUUACUAGUUUAUGUAUGUUUUAAUUCUUUCAUUGAUUAUGCUAUUUGUAAACUCAAUUAUGAGUAGUUAAAUCUCUUAGAGAUUAGGUGUGAGAUGAUUCUGAUGUAACCCUAAUUUAAACAUGUUGAUGUGAAACUCUAUUUCUUAUGAAUAUCAAUCUAGUUUUAUUCAAUUCAAUUGUUCUUAGUGCUUUUUAUAUGCUGAUCACAUAUAUACAUGAAUUCGUGAGAAUGAAUGACUAUUGAUCAUAACUUUCAACUUAGACCUGAUUGAAUUGUUCAAAUAAACAGGGUCAGUCUAGGAAUAGAUAAUCGUUUAUUUGUAAUAAGAGGUUAACGUUCUUAAAACCUUCAAAGAAUAUUAGAUCACCUAAGGAAUUAUGGACUGUAAUCUGAGAAGAGGGUCCUAAGUCAAGGUAUUGAUUAGGGUUAUUUUAGUUAAUCAUCGUGAAACUAGAGAAAUAUUCAUAGGAAGUAGGUGCAGUGUACCAAUUAUGGGAAUUUAGAGAAUUCGAAAGACCUAGUCUAAUCUCUCUCUAUCUUUUCUAAACAACUUUAUUUUCUGAUAUUUACUUUUUAUGCACAACAAACCUACCACCUCGGGUACUAAAAUAAAUUUACACAUCCUAUUUCAUAACACUAUUGUUUAAUUGAGAUUAACACGGUCCUUGUAGAAACAAACUUUAUUAUAUUACUUUGAUAGUUUUUAGUACACUUGCUAAAUUUCUAUCACUUGGUAUCGAUAGCCAACCACCUAAGAAUUUACCAAAACAUAAUACUAAUAAGCUAAUCAACUAUUUUUGAAGUAUUCUAUUUUUGAAACAUGUCGUUCAUCCUUGUGCAAGAAAUCAAAGGAGGGUUAAAAAAACCUAAAUUUCAUGGAUGAUUUAGUUAAAAAAUUUAGGAACAAAAAUACCAAUAAGGAUGAGUCAAUACCAUAAGCACAGCUUUGAUGUGGUCAAGAGUGAGAUCAAAAGAGAGUGAGUGAUCAUUCAUCAUCUGCAAUAAGAUAUCAAUAAUAUCAUCUACUUCUUGUUCCUUAGUUUUAGGCCUUGCUGAAUUAUCCAUGUGGUCAUCAAUAACUCUUUGGUAUAUCAAAUCCAACUCCUUGAAUGUUUUAUCAAGCCUCCCAAGAGUUCCUUUGACUCUAUCAAUCCAACCCAACAAUGGAAAAUUAUCUGAAAAGUAAAAUUCAGCCAACAAAGCUUGAGCUUCAUUAAGCAAAACUUGCAAUCUACUUCUCUUUUGUCCACUUCCCAAUUCAACUUCUUCUUCAUAAUCACAAACAUAUGUUUUUCCAAAAGCUAUCUUACAUAUAAUUGUAUUUGUGAGAGACAUCAAUAUUUCACUCAAGUUCGCACCUUUUUCAUCACCACCAUAUUGCGACAACUUUUGAAUCAAUUGGGCCACUUCAUUUUCUCUAACGGGCCUAAAAGAAUGGACACGUUGAGAGCUAAAGAGAUGUUGAACACAAAGUUUUCUCAUCUCUCUCCAAUAAGGACUAUAAGGUGCAAAAGCAAGAUCUAAACCAUUGUAAGACAAUUUUCUUAGUCCUAGGAAAGAUGGUCUACUUGCAAAUUUAAGGUCAUGGGUUUUCAACACUUGUUCUGCCAUUUUUGCUGAGGAAACAAUUAAGGUUGGUAUGUAACCAAGUUGCAAAGACAUGAUAGGUCCAUAGUGUUUGGAAAGUUUCCAUAAGGAGUGAUGUGGGGAUGAAGGGUCAAGCUGGUGUAGAUUUCCAAUUAGAGGAAGUGGUUUUGGACCUGGUGG